rnacentral:lncRNA from 1 species
GGAAACCCUUGGGCUUCUGGUCUCUCUGGAUAGUCUUGCUCGCUCCCCAUUUCAGGGAAUGGAUCAUUGGCUGCUCUCAUUUCACCCUCUGUCUCCAUGCCUUGAUGAUUAAGAGGUCCUCUGAGCUUAUGUUAUUUUCUUCCCACUGCUUCAAGCACUUUCUAGACCCAUCACUUCCUGUGUUAUUUAUCUUUAGGCUCCCAGGGUAAUGUAGAGAAGACGACCAUGGUUGAAGAAGGGUGUUUUGUAGAACCCUGAGGUAAGAUUUCCAGAUUCUUUAGCUAGUCUUCCCCUCUGCCCAACCCCGCCCCCAAUAUAUUUUUAUUCUUUUAGUCAUGUCUAUGUGAGCAGGGUUAUGUGCAAACUCCAUGGCCCAAAGAGUUUAUACAAUUUUUUGGGUGAGACUUAAUUCUGUAUGCACAAUAAAGCCUAAGGCAUGACUCCACUGAAACUCUCUGUAAAGUACAUGUGACCUCUUCCAUAAAGAUAAGUUCUAUAGCUUAAUUGGGAAAGCAGGCUCAGCACAAACAGCUAACUAUAAGGGUCUGGGCAAGGGUGGCUCUAUAGAUGGAGAUAAAUGCUCAGAGUCUGGGGGGUCAGGUGUGACCAUACAAAUGGCACAUGCCUGUUAACCAGCUGCACUCCCAGCCUUCUGGGUAGAAAAUAGGUUCUGGAACCCUUCCUCUGAAGA